GUUUGCUCAGAGUCACUGUCGGGGACGGGUCCAUGCGCGUCCUUGCUCCGGUGCUCGUGUUUUCGACAGCAGGCACAACUCAGUUGCAGCAGUAUUUUGGCUUGGCAUCAGAGUGACAGCAGGCAAACAUCAGUUAGCGAAACCUAAUUGAACCGCGUUGUGGAUUAAAAGCGUACGUACGUACAUGCGUCUGUAUGUACACUCUUAAAUCGUUCGAACUGUUUAAACCUAACGCAGCGCCAGAAGCAUUAACAACAGAAAAGCAUUUACAGCCACCCAUUUCUGCCAGAUAAAGCAAUCCAGGGUGAAAAAAGGAUUAAAUAAUCGAUAGCGUUAAAAAGAGAGGAGGAAGAAGAAAAACCUUUAACGACGUACGCCAGCGUCCAGCUACAGUGAGACGAAAGUGUGUUCUAUAAAGCUAAGCUAAUUUUAAUUUCCGUUUCUUCUAAAAGAAAAUUAUGUGCGAUCGUGGCGGUUUGUGUGGUGUACGCAGGCAUGA